AAGGGCACCACAAGAACGCGUGGAGCAUGUGGCUUAAUUUGACUCAACGCGGGAAAGCUUAUCGGGUCCGGACACACUGAGGAUUGACAGGCGAGAUAUAUUCGUAUAUCGCUACAUUUGUAAGUCCUUUCAUGAUUGUGUGAUAGGUGGUGCAUGGCCGUUCUUAGUUCGUGGAGUGAUCUGUCUGCUUAAUUGCGUUUCAGAUAAAGGCACUACACUGCGAGGUGUCUUAUAUACUUGUUAUAUUUGCGCGCUGAGCGGGUAUGCCUUUGAAAGCAACGAACGUGACCUCAGCUCGAUGUUAUGUACAUUAUAAGUACAAGUAACCUUCGAGGACUGCCAUGGUGUAAACCAGGAGGAAGGUUGAGGCAAUAACAGGUCUGUGAUGCCCUUAGAUGUUCCGGGCUGCACACGUGCUACAAUGAUUGUUGCAGAAAGUAUCUGCAUAAGCAAGCCACUAUAGGUUUAUUCUUAUAGGCUAGGCUUCAGUAUACUCUUUAUUGAGUAAACAAAAGACCUAUCUCGAAAGUUCGAUAGGCAAUCAAUUCCAAGUGAUAAUCUCUCACGUACCCUGCACAAGUCCAAGCAAGAGUGUAGCAAUCACGUAUUUAUACGCCGUUUGACUCGCCUUGCUGUGCUCUGUAAAUUCAUGGCCGGGACAGACCAUUGAAUAAUUGUUGGUCUCGGUCUCAACUAGGAAUGCCUUGUACGGGUCUCUGGUUCAACAAACCACCCGGAAUACGUCCCUGCCCUUUGUACACACCGCCCGUCGCUCUUACCGAUGGACUUCUCUGUGAGUUCGAGGGACUGGCAUUAUGCGUUGUCAAAGACGUAGCUAUGGAAACUCGAACGAACAGUGUGGUCUAAAGGAAAGAGAAGUCGAACAAGGCA
rnacentral:rRNA from 1 species